AUGGACAACUGUUGUGUGUUGUGGUUGAAGCUGCAGUUUUGUUGUCACUGUAAUGGGAGAGGAGCGGGGGUGAGGAAGAGGGCUGAAGAUGGAGAAUCGGGCCACUCGGUGUGGGACCCCCCUCUGACCCCUCUCUCUGGGGUCCUGCAGGCCUUGGGUGGGGAAGCAGAAGCGUCAGGGGUCCUUGCAGCGGCCAGCCAGACUGCUUCCUUGACCUUGGUGGUGACUCUGCACCCAUCCGAGGCCACACUCCGAGCGAAACUGAGGCCCGCGCUGCCUGCACCACAUGCGCUUCCCCCGGAGACCUCGCUAACCGUCCAUUGUGGGUGGGAGGCCGGGCACCGGCUGCGCCUGGAGCUGCACACUGGGGCCUGCGAGCUUCAGGGCAGUGGUGAGCUGCAGCUGGACCGCCGGCUGCAGUGGCGGGUGGUGGCCGAGAGCUCCUGCGAGGGCCUGCAGGCCCUGGGGGUCCCAGGCCGAGUCAACAGCUCCGGCUACAUUGUGGUGAACUCCACGGCCAUGGACGCUCAGGUGCUGGUCACCGUGGAUGCCAGCACGCUACGGGGGCUGCUUGUCCUCAGUACCACCGAGGUGAGGGUGCAGACCAGGAUGGCCUGGGAUGCCAGGGCCAAGUGCUCCUGACAAGAGAAGCAUUUUGAUACCAGCUGAGCUCCAGAGAGGACCCUGGCAGAUGAGAGCUUCAGGGUCCAUGAGUAGACGAAUGAGACUUCCGAGGAGAAGUCCCUCAGCUGCCCCUUCCCCUUCCUAAUUCCCCAGGGGCCAUCGCUUCGAGGAGAAGUCCCUCAGCUGCCCCUUCCCCUUCCUAACUCCCCAGGGGCCAUCGCUUAUCUGACUCUUCUAAUGUCAUGGUCACGAAAGCACACAGCCUGCUCGCUUUUGCAUCUGCC
rnacentral:lncRNA from 1 species